rnacentral:rRNA from 1 species
CCUACGGGAGGCAGCAGUCGAGAAUCAUUCACAAUGGGGGAAACCCUGAUGGUGCGAUGCCGCGUGGGGGAAUGAAGGUUUUCGGAUUUUAAAUUCCUGGCAUGGGGGAGCAAAUUAGAAAGUUAGCACCACAAGAGCAACGGCUGGCUACCUCCGUGCCAGCAGCGUCGGAAAUACAUAGGUCUCAAGCGUUGUUCGUACUCACUGGGCGUAAAGGGUGGGCGGGCGGUUAGGUAAGUCGUGUGUGAAAGGCGCGGGCUCAACCCGCGGACUGCACAUGAGUUUUCUGUACUAGAGUAAUGGAGGGGCAGACGGAAUUCUCGGUGUAGCAGUGAAAUGCGUAGAUAUAGGGAGGAACACUCGUGGCGAAGGCGGGUUGCUGGACAGUAACUGACGCUGAGGCACGAAGGCCAGGGGAGCGAAAGGGAUUAGAUACCCCAGUAGUC